rnacentral:rRNA from 1 species
CAACCUGCCCUUCANAGGGGGACAACAGUUGGAAACGACUGCUAAUACCGCAUACGAUCUAACCUUGGCAUCGAGGAUGGAUGAAAGGUGGCCUCUAUUUAUAAGCUAUCACUGAAGGAGGGGAUCGCGUCUGAUUAGCUAGUUGGAGGGGUAACGGCCCACCAAGGCGAUGAUCAGUAGCCGGUCUGAGAGGAUGAACGGCCACAUUGGGACUGAGACACGGUCCAGACUCCUACGGGAGGCAGCAUG